UUGGAAAUUAGCCGGAGAAAUUCACGCCUUACAUCCAUUAACGCACUUUAUAAUCAACUGGUGGCCGCAAAUGUGGGUCAUCCAUUAAAGCGCUCUUGGCACCGAAGUCAUCUAGACAUCUAGACAACCAUAACAAAUUGUGGAUAUUGCUCUUUUUCCUUUGCUUUUCCUAUUAUGUCAGUUGCUAUCGGGGUUCAUGUUCGAGUGUUUUCCAUUCGCCUCAAUCUGCCUGUGAAUGAUGAUGACUCAUGGGCAUGUGAACUUUUCGAUGAUUAAGCUCAAAUUGGAGUCCGGCAGCUGGUGACGCCCUCGAAAAAGGACGGAUAAAGAAACCGAUUUUCAGAUAGGCACAGUGGCUCCAUAAGAAAGUUUUCACAAUAUAAUUAGUUAGAAGAUUUGAUAAUAACACUUAAAAAAUACCAUUUGUUCAGUGUGCCAUAAAAGUUUUAUUUCAGUGCAGUGUGCGAUUGGGAAGGCCGGCACAUGUCAUCAGUCAGGCUACAGUGAGCUCACUCAUAGUCUGCAGUGGGAUUGGGAUACACAAUCGCAUGAGGAGAGAUACAUUUGAGACAGUGAAACAAUCAGUUGAUGGAUGCACUGUGUUUGCAGAGGGUCGCCGAGGAGGACAAAUUGCCAGAAGCCGGCGACCAUCGAAGCAAAAACAGGAAGGAAAGAAAAAAAUAGAUGGUACAUAGAAACGACAAUUGUGAAGUCAUAUUAAUUGUAUCUAUCUUCUGGCUGCAGCA
rnacentral:sRNA from 1 species